AAGAAAGGAAAAGAGCUUUCUGUUCAACCUUGCUUUGUGCAGCAAUUCAAAGUUCAGUCAGAAAAAUAUUUCCUUUGACAACCGAAGAACAGUUUAAAACCAACAUAGGACACUGGCUUCAACAGUCAAAAAACAGAAGUCAAACCCCACGGACCAUUAUACCGGCAGAAGCCAGUGAUUUUAGAUCCUGCUCUGGUCUGUGUGCUGGGGC